rnacentral:rRNA from 2 species
GGACUACCAGGGUAUCUAAUCCCGUUCGCUCCCCACGCUUUCGUGCCUCAGUGUCAGAUCUAGCCCAGUCACCUGUCUUCACCAUCGGCGUUCCUGACGAUAUCUACGCAUUUCACCGCUCCACCGUCAGUUCCAGUGACCCCUACUAGCCUCAAGCACGCCAGUAUCCGAAGCAGUUCCUGGGUUGAGCCCAGGGAUUUCACAACGGACUUAACGCGCCACCUACGCACCCUUUAAACCCAGUGAUUCUCAGUAACGCUUGGGGCCUCUGUAUUACCGCGGCUGCUGGCAC